UAGCAUCGCCGGCUAUGUUAGCCGCCAACAGCAGGCUGCUAGCUAGCUCACUGCUGUGCGGGUCUCAUGUUGAUGGAAUGAUGGAGACUCUAACCGUCGGGCACGUCUACUCCCAAACCGCGGCAGACUAAAGGAUAUCCUGCUGCAUUUGAGACAGUGAACUACCAGAUCCUUAUUUCCUCCCUGCAGGCUCUGGGUGUCUCAGGCCCUGCUCUCAUCAUACCUCAACGACCGCACUUACCAGGUAACAUGGAGAGGAUCUGUUUCUGAACCUUGUCCUCUCACUACUUGGGUCCCUCAAGGUUCCGUCCUGGGUCCCCUCCUCUUCUCGUUGUACACCAACUUUCUCAGUUCUGUCAUUCACUCACAUGGCUUUUCCUACCAUAGCUAUGCUGAUGACACCCAACUAAUCCUCUCUUCUCCACAAUCUGAAACACAGGUAGCAGCACAAAUCUCUUCCUGUCUGACUGACAUCUCUCAGUGGAUGCUCGCACACCAAAGGCUCUCCCACCCAUGACCUGACUAUUACCUUUGACAACUCCAUCUUGGCCCCCAACCAGACUGCUAGGAACCUGGGUGUGAAACUCGACAGUAAACUCUCCCUUUCCACCAACAUUACUGCAACAGCAUAUUCCUGUAAAUUCAUGCUUCAAAACAUCAGGAAAAUACGUCCCCUUCUCACUCAGUAGGCGGCGCAGGAUCUGAUCCAGGCUCUGGUCAUCUCCCGCCUAGACUAUUGUAACUCCCUCCUGGCUGAUCUACCUGCUAGUGCCAUCUGACCUCUGCAGGUCAUCCAGAAUGCAGCAGGUCGACCGGUCUUUAACCUAAAUUCACACACGCUACUCGCCUCCAAUGCUCUCUUCACUGGUAACCAGUGGCUGCCCGCAUCAGUUUUAAAACAUUGGUGCUUGCGUACCGUGCUGCGAACGGAUCAGGUCCAGUCUACAUCCAGGACAUGGUCAAACGUUACACCCCAGCCCAUUCACUUUCUGCAUCUGACAAUCAGCUUGCUGCUCCCUCACUGCAAGCUAAUCACUCACAAAAUCACGACUGUUUGCUGUCCUGGCUCCUAAUUGGUGGAAUGAGCUCCCCAUUGAAACCAGGACAGCAGAAAGUCUACACAUCUUCCUGUGCAGACUAAAAACACAUCUCAUCAAACUACACCUUGAAUAAAAAAAAUAAAAAAAACUUUAGUUCAAACAAAAUAUUUAGUAGCACUUAAACAGCACUUACUUAUAGCACUUUGUAGUUUGGCUUUCUUGAAGAAAAUUGUACUUUCUUGAUUCUUGUCCUGGGUUUGUAUCUUCAUGGUUGAAUGCACUUAUUGUAAUUCACUUUGGAUAAAGGGCUCAGCUAAAUGUAAUGUAAUAUGAUAUUCUGUUGAGAAAGCAAUAUUUUCUUGGUAAAGUUGCAGGGGAAAGAGUGGACAGAGAGCCUUGUGUGAUGUAAACUGCUGCGUCAGUGCGAAGCUGCAAAGGUGGGCAGGACAUUUGCAUCUCAAAGAGCCUCCUCAAGCUCCUCAGCUCAUCAGUGUCUAUUGAACUUUGCUGCCUGAACAUGUGAAGCGGUCCAGUGGGACUGUGGUGCUCAUUACACACCAGACAGCAUGUCGUGUGGACGUUAGUUACGUCUGUCCUGAGGAUGGCACCAGAGGAAAGACCAUAGCUUUUAGACAUCUCAGACUCAGUCCUUUUGGGAGUCAUCACAGGUAUGAAUUCUCCUGGGACAGACACAUACAGAGAGUGGUAACCAAAAUGUUUAAAGGAUGUGCAACAUAUCUGACAUUAAAACCUAUCGAACAAGUAAUAAAAACAUUUUUGGAUUGUUGCUCAGCAGUUUGGUCCCAUUCUACAUAAGGUGAUAUUCAAAUAUUAAUUGAAAAAAAUUCUGAAAAUGCAUAAAUAACUGAAUGCAUCAAUGUAUCCCUGAGGGUUGUCUAGAGUGGUGCCUGAUAUCUUUUGAAAUGUUGAUUUAAAAAAGAUCAGUCAUGCAUAAUUUCUAAACGAUUUAUACAGCAACAAAUUCAAUAAAUAUAUACUUUGGAAAUACAAGUAGAAUAGGCAAUGUUUUAUUUAAUAUGUCCAUUUUAAACACAAACAUUAAAAGCUGUAAAUUGCAGUUCACUGGCUUUAAUUUUUACUGUUGUUUAAAAACCUUUCACAUUUAAAGGUUGAUUUCCACCGGUUUUCAUUCAUGACUGCACAGUGACGGGUGACGUCACAGAUGCUAACUUAGAUUCUACCAAUUAAAUCCAAUUUAAAGCUCAACUUUCUCCCGUGUUCACACAGGAUCUCUGCCGCCCAGACAGACUGACCAUCAGGUUCUUGAUCCUCUCUGUUCAUAAGGUCCUUGGUCAGUUUGGUGACCAGCUCUCCACAGGUUUUGGUUGGAAUAAACGUCUUCCAUUUAAGAAUUGGAGGCCACUGACACUUUGAUGCCGCACACAUAGCCUUCUCCAGAUCUGUGACCCUCGACACAGUCCUGUCUCUGAGCUCUGCAGCUUCUUCACCUCAUGGCUUAGAUUAUCCUUUGACAGGUUCAGCGUGGAGUUGACCUGCUUGGCCGACAGCAGGCUGUGCCACUGAGCGACCGGCCGCCGCGGGUUGGACAACAUGUCGGCCCAGUGUUUCAGCUGGUUCCCUGUGGCGUCGCAGCCCAGGAAUAUCUUCCCCAUGGCAUCAUUUCGGGACACGGCAUCGUGGUCCCACAAUGAGAUGACCAGGUUCACCCUCUGAGGAGGACAAGAAAACUCAGUCACAACAGAAUCAAGGUGCGACUUUGUUGGAUCCAGUUCAGUAACACAUUUUCACAUUUCUUUCCAGUGUUUUUCAGUCCGGGUUUCAGGUUAAGCCACUGCCCUUAUGGAAGAUUUAAAAUGCCCAAAUGAUUUCCUUUAAAGACAUUUAAUUUGUCAUAAUCAAAUGAACAAACAUGUAUAAAUGCUAAUUAUUUACAUAUC